UGGAGAAGGAGCUCGGCGGAACGGCUCUGGAAGCCCCGGUAGCGGGGCUCACAUCUUUGCAAGGCCUCCUGAGUGCUGGGAUUACAGGCAUGUGCCACCAUGCCCAGCAUCUGUGACCAGCCCCGAGACACAGAAGCAACUGGACCUGAGACAGGAACUGCCACCUGGGCUAUUGAAGUAGACUGGCUGGGUGGGUCUUAUCUGCCACAAUAUGAAAUCAUCACUGCCGUCAAGAGGCCUGAGCAGAUGAAAAAGGGGAAAUGAAGCAUUUAAAUAUAAAGAAUCCCAACAUCUGGCGUCCAAACAGGGACUCAACAGCAGAGACGUCUGCUGUGGAGUGUGACUUGCCUUCGCUGUGUUCCCGGGGUAGGACAUGGCCCCCACGAUGUGUCGACUUCAUUUGCUUUGAAAAAUCCCCGGGGUUCCUGCUUGUUGCAUUCACCAUGCACAAAACAAGUUGACACCACGGGCUACACAACGCAGUUCCACAGUUUCGCCUCUCCCUAAACCAAGCCUGGCCUCCUUAAAAGCGACCCAAGACAACUGCUUGCCAGUGACGUGGGUGACAUAGAUACAUCUAAAGAAAAAUCCACUGCUCAUCAGCUUCUUGAGGCGGUAUUUACCAAAUUGACAAUAAACUCU
rnacentral:lncRNA from 1 species